rnacentral:rRNA from 1 species
AGGAUGAACGCUGGCGGCGUGCCUAAUACAUGCAAGUCGAGCGGUAAGGCCCCUUCGGGGGUACACGAGCGGCGGACGGCUGAGUAACACGUAGGAACGUACCCCAAACUGAGGGAUAAGCACCAGAAAUGGUGUCUAAUACCGCAUGUGGUCUUCGGAUUAAAGCUUCGGCGGUUUGGGAACGGCCUGCGCAUGAUUAGCUUGUUGGUGAGGUAAAAGCUUACCAAGGCGACGAUCAUUAGCUGGUCUGAGAGGAUGAUCAGCCAGACUGGGACUGAGAACGGCCCAGACUCCUACGGGAGGCAGCAGUAGGGAAUUUUCCACAAUGGGCGAAAGCCUGAUGGAGCAACGCCGCGUGCAGGACGAAGGCCUUCGGGUUGUAAACUGCUUUUAUAUGUGAAGAUUAUGACGGUAGCAUAUGAAUAAGGAUCGGACUAACUCCGUGCCAGCAGCCGC